GGGUGGUAGUGAUGAUGAAGGUGCCAGUACUGAGGCUCAAGGACGAGCUAUUAUUGAGGUACUCGGGAGGGACAAGCGUAAUGAAAUCCUUGCUGCAUUGUAUAUGGUCCGAACCGAUGUCAGCAUAACCGUACGCCAGGCUGCUUUGCAUGUUUGGAAGACCAUUGUUGCAAAUACUCCGAAAACAUUGAAGGAGAUAAUGCCUGUACUGAUGAGCACAUUGAUAAGUUCUCUAGCGUCUUCAUCCUCUGAAAGGAGACAGGUUGCUGGACGAGCACUCGGUGAGCUUGUUAGGAAGCUUGGAGAAAGAGUCCUUCCUUUGAUUAUCCCAAUAUUGUCACGGGGUCUAAAAGAUCCAAAUCCAAGUAGAAGACAAGGUGUCUGCAUCGGUCUAAGUGAAGUAAUGGCCAGUGCUGGCAGGAGUCAAUUGUUGAGUUAUAUGGAUGAGCUUAUCCCCACAAUUCGGACAGCACUUUGUGAUAGUAUGGGCGAGGUUCGGGAAUCAGCAGGCCUGGCAUUUAGUACUCUUUACAAGAAUGCUGGAAUGCAAGCAAUUGAUGAGAUUGUUCCAACACUUCUUCAUGCACUGGAGGAUGAGGAUACCUCAGAUACUGCUCUGGAUGGCUUAAAACAAAUUCUGAGUGUCAGGACCACAGCUGUGCUGCCACACAUCCUCCCAAAGCUGGUUCAUCUUCCACUUUCUGCCUUCAACGCACAUGCUUUGGGAGCUUUAGCGGAAGUUGCAGGACCUGGUCUUGGUGCCCACCUUAGUACUAUCCUUCCUGCUUUACUGUAUGCAAUGGGUUAUACCGACAUGGAAAUUCAAAGUUUAGCAAAGAAGGCAGCAGAAACUGUUGUGUCAGUUAUUGAUGAAGAAGGCAUGGAGUCUUUGUUGUCUGAACUACUGAAAGGAGUUGGGGAUACUAAGGCAUCGAUUAGACGAAGUUCAGCAUAUCUUAUCGGGUACCUGUUCAAAAAUAGCGACUUAUAUCUUGGUGAUGAAGCCCCAAACAUGAUAUCCAGCCUCAUUAUAUUGCUUAGUGAUCCAGAUUCUGAUACUGUGGUGGUUGCAUGGCAAGCUUUGUCUAAUGUUGUUAGUUCAGUACCUAAAGAGGUUCUUCCAACAUAUAUCAAGUUGGUUCGUGAUGCUGUAUCUACUUCAAGAGAUAAGGAGCGUAGAAAGAAAAAGGGAGGACCAGUUCUUAUACCUGGAUUUUGUCUUCCGAAAGCUCUUCAGCCAGUGCUUCCUGUUUUUCUCCAGGGUCUCAUAAGUGGAUCCGCAGAACUAAGGGAGCAAGCAGCUUUAGGUCUUGGGGAGUUAAUUGAAGUGACAGGCGAGAAAACACUUAAGGAGUUUGUGAUUCCUAUCACAGGGCCCUUGAUUCGUAUUAUAGGUGACAGAUUUCCUUGGCAAGUAAAGAGUGCAAUUCUGUCGACUCUGAGCAUCAUAAUUCGAAGGGGAGGAAUAGCCCUAAAGCCCUUUCUUCCCCAGCUUCAAACAACA
rnacentral:misc_RNA from 1 species